rnacentral:rRNA from 1 species
GGGGAUGACGUCAAAUCAUCAUGCCCCUUAUGACCUGGGCUACACACGUGCUACGAAUGGGCGGUACAAAGGGUCGCGAACCCGCGAGGGGGAGCCAAUCCCAAAAAGCCGCUCUCAGUUCGGAUUGCAGGCUGCAACUCGCCUGCAUGAAGCCGGAAUCGCUAGUAAUCGCGGAUCAGCAUGCCGCGGUGAAUACGUUCCCGGGCCUU